rfam:Danio rerio chromosome 4, GRCz11 reference primary assembly.
GCAUUGGUGGUUCAGUGGUAGAAUUCUCGCCUGCCACGUGGGAGACCUGCGUCCGAUUCCCGGCCAAUGCA